rnacentral:miRNA from 1 species
CUCCAUAGAUUCUAGAUUAACG